ensembl:snRNA U2 U2 spliceosomal RNA
AUCCCUUCUUGGCCUUUUGGCUAAGAUCAAGUGUAGAGUUCUUCAGGACAGGUAGAGGAUUAAUAGCAUAGGAUUUCUGAAUAAAAGGAUUCCUGGGGCCAGGGAUUUAGCUCGGUGGUUCCACCGCUUGCCUCCCAAGCGCAAGGUCCUGAGUUUGAUCCCGGGUACCAAAA